AACUCCUCAACCGACAUGCUGCCAUUCCCAGAAAUGGCUGAUAAUUACUCUGAGCCAGGUGACAUUCAUGUCCCCCUGAUCCCCUUUUGACAGAUGCCUGGUAUUCUGAUGGUUCAUUUCUGACCUGGCUAGUCUGCAUUACACAGGGAAACUGUUCAAGAGCCAUGGAUCACCCAGAGCGCCCACAGGGGCUUUGUGUUUUCAUCUGGAUAAUGGGAUCCCACGGCCUUGCCUGACUCACAGAAGCAUUAUGAGGAACGGAUGCAUUAACCUGAAGAAGCUGUGAAAAUAGCAGAUUGCUUAUCCAAGCACAACAUUAUGAGGCGUGGCGUGUCUAAUCACGAACCCACUAGAACAUGAGAAAGAAGAAAUUGAACAAGACUGUAAUGAGUUGUUUGGAAUGGAAGCCCAUAAGAAACUAAAACCAAAAAAUAGUCAGCAUUUAAAUGCAGAGUGCAGAAGGACAUUUCGGGGAGCCCAGGUCCUCAGAGCGUGGGGGUGUUAGCUGCCCUGUGCAAGGCGGUCCUUUAUUGGAAAUCGCCUCAGAGAGCAUUGCUGAGUGUGGCUUCUUGCAACUACACCUGAGAACGACAUUCACUCUGCUUCAUUGAAAACAAUCUAUCCCGUGUGUGGAAGAAGCAUGCCUUGCUGGGGUCAGGGCCAGGGACAAAGCUCAGAGGCCAUGCUGAGUUUUCAUCAAACACCUGCUGAGCAGCUGGCACGUGCCAGGACACGGUCUAGGCUGAAGGCUGCCAUCGUAGUGCAGAAUAGAAUCCCGUGGAGGUUGGAAAUGUUUACCUGCUUGCUUUUUUUCUUACCGUGUGUAUUAUUUUCAGUAAUAAAAUGUAUACAUAUACAAGUGA
rnacentral:lncRNA from 1 species